rnacentral:rRNA from 1 species
UGAACGCUGGCGGCGUGCCUAAUACAUGCAAGUCGAACGCACAGCGAAAGGUGCUUGCACCUUUCAAGUGAGUGGCGAACGGGUGAGUAACACGUGGACAACCUGCCUCAAGGCUGGGGAUAACAUUUGGAAACAGAUGCUAAUACCGAAUAAAACUUAGUGUCGCAUGACACAAAGUUAAAAGGCGCUUCGGCGUCACCUAGAGAUGGAUCCGCGGUGCAUUAGUUAGUUGGUGGGGUAAAGGCCUACCAAGACAAUGAUGCAUAGCCGAGUUGAGAGACUGAUCGGCCACAUUGGGACUGAGACACGGCCCAAACUCCUACGGGAGGCUGCAGUAGGGAAUCUUCCACAAUGGGCGAAAGCCUGAUGGAGCAACGCCGCGUGUGUGAUGAAGGCUUUCGGGUCGUAAGCACUGUUGUAUGGGAAGAACAGCUAGAAUAGGAAAUGAUUUUAGUUUGACGGUACCAUACCAGAAAGGGACGGCUAAAUACGUG